CAAUAGCGUAUAUUAAAGUUGUUGCGGUUAAAACGCUCGUAGUUGGAUUUGCGGCCUCGGAGAACGGUCCCCCGAAAGGGCGGUCACUGUCUCUCCUAGCCUAAAUUCGAGUCGUCUCUAGGUGCUCUUUAUUGAGUGCUUAGAGUGACUAGAACGUUUACUUUGAAAAAAUUAGAGUGCUCAAAGCAGGCGAAAUAGCCUGAAUAAGGUGCAUGGAAUAAUGGAAUAGGACCUCGGUUCUAUUUUGUUGGUUUUCGGAACCUGAGGUAAUGAUUAAGAGGAACAGACGGGGGCAUUCGUAUUCCGGCGCUAGAGGUGAAAUUCUUGGACCGCCGGAAGACGGACAACUG
rnacentral:rRNA from 1 species